rnacentral:rRNA from 1 species
UACGUAGGGGGCAAGCGUUGUCCGGAUUUAUUGGGCGUAAAGAGCGUGUAGGCGGCCAGACAGGUCCGUUGUGAAAACUCGAGCUCAACCUCGAGACGCCGAUGGAAACCGUUUGGCUAGAGUCCGGAAGAGGAGAGUGGAAUUCCCGGUGUAGCGGUGAAAUGCGCAGAUAUCGGGAAGAACACCCGUGGCUAAGGCGGCUCUCUAGUACGGUACUGACGCUGAGACGCGAAAAGCGUGGGGAGCGAACAGG